rnacentral:rRNA from 1 species
GACGAACGCUGGCGGCGUGCUUAACACAUGCAAGUCGAACGGAGUGGCGAACGGGUGAGUAUUACGUGAGUAACCUGCCCUCAACUGUGGGAUAAGCCUGGGAAACUGGGUCUAAUACUGCAUAGUUGGGGAUGGGCUCGCGGUCUGUCAGCUUGUUGGUGGGGUGAUGGCCUACCAAGGCGGUGGCGGGUAGCCGGCCUGAGAGGGUGGUGGGCCACAGUGGGAGUGCGAAACGGCCCAGAAGCCAACAGGAGGGAGCAGUGGGGGAUAUUGCACAAUGGGCGCGAGCCUGAUGCAGCGACGCCGCGUGGGGGAUGAAGGCUUUCGGGUUGUAAACCGCGUUGGGUACAGAACGGGUAUGUGCAGAAGAAGCGCCGGCUAACUACGUGCCAGCAGCCGCGGUAAUAC